GGAAUUUUGGACAAUGGGCGAAAGCCUGAUCCAGCAAUGCCGCGUGCAGGACGAAGGCCUUCGGGUUGUAAACUGCUUUUGUACGGAACGAAAAGGUAGCUCCUAAUACGAGCUGCUGAUGACGGUACCGUAAGAAUAAGCACCGGCUAACUACGUGCCAGCAGCCGCGGUAAUACGUAGGGUGCGAGCGUUAAUCGGAAUUACUGGGCGUAAAGCGUGCGCAGGCGGUUUUGUAAGAUAGAUGUGAAAUCCCCGGGCUCAACCUGGGAACUGCAUAUAUGACUGCAAAGCUAGAGUACGGUAGAGGGGGAUGGAAUUCCGCGUGUAGCAGUGAAAUGCGUAGAUAUGCGGAGGAACACCGAUGGCGAAGGCAAUCCCCUGGACCUGUACUGACGCUCAUGCACGAAAGCGUGGGGAGCAAACAGGAUUAGAUACCCUGGUAGUCCACGCCCUAAACGAUGUCAACUGGUUGUUGGGUCUUUACUGACUCAGUAACGUAGCUAACGCGUGAAGUUGACCGCCUGGGGAGUACGGCCGCAAGGUUG
rnacentral:rRNA from 1 species